CUCAAAAGGCAAACCACAUGAUCCUGGGGCACUGCAACCGUCAUAAAUAUGAGUUAGUUGCCACACAUCCAGAUUUUGAUCCUGUGAUCAUGAAAAAGC